rnacentral:rRNA from 1 species
CAACGUGGGUAACCGUCGCCCUCCACUCUGGGAUAACUCCGGGAAACCGGGGCUAAUACCGGAUACGAGUCCUGACCGCAUGGUCGGGGCUGGAAAGUUUUUCGGUGGAGGAUGGACCCGCGGCCUAUCAGCUUGUUGGUGGGGUAAUGGCCUACCAAGGCUUUGACGGGUAGCCGGCCUGAGAGGGCGACCGGCCACACUGGGACUGAGACACGGCCCAG